GAUGAACGCUGGCGGCGUGCCUAAUACAUGCAAGUCGAGCGGACAGACGAGGAGCUUGCUCCUCUGACGUUAGCGGCGGACGGGUGAGUAACACGUGGAUAACCUACCUAUAAGACUGGGAUAACUUCGGGAAACCGGAGCUAAUACCGGAUAAUAUAUUGAACCGCAUGGUUCAAUAGUGAAAGACGGUUUUGCUGUCACCUAUAGAUGGAUCCGCGCCGCAUUAGCUAGUUGGUAAGGUAACGGCUUACCAAGGCAACGAUGCGUAGCCGACCUGAGCGGGUGAUCGGCCACACUGGAACUGAGACACGGUCCAGACUCCUACGGGAGGCAGCAGUAGGGAAUCUUCCGCAAUGGGCGAAAGCCUGACGGAGCAACGCAGCGUGAGUGAUGAAGGUCUUCGGAUCGUAAAACUCUGUUAUUAGGGAAGAACAAAUGUGUAAGUAACUAUGCACGUCUUGACGGUACCUAAUCAGAAAGCCACGGCUAACUACGUG
rnacentral:rRNA from 1 species